rnacentral:rRNA from 1 species
UAGGGAAUUUUCGGCAAUGGGGGAAACCCUGACCGAGCAACGCCGCGUGAGUGAUGACGGCCUUCGGGUUGUAAAGCUCUGUUGUAAGGGAAGAACGAUCAGAAGAGAAUUCUGAAAUGACGGUACCUUACCAGAAAGCCACGGCUAACUACGUGCCAGCAGCCGCGGUAAUACGUAGGUGGCGAGCGUUAUCCGGAAUUAUUGGGCGUAAAGGGUGCGUAGGCGGCCUGUUAAGUAAGUGGUUAAAUUGUUGGGCUCAACCCAAUCCAGCCACUUAAACUGGCAGGCUAGAGUAUUGGAGAGGCAAGUGGAAUUCCAUGUGUAGCGGUAAAAUGCGUAGAUAUAUGGAGGAACACCAGUGGCGAAGGCGGCUUGCUAGCCAAAGACUGACGCUCAUGCACGAAAGCGUGGGGAGCAAAUAGG